UUGGUCAAUGGACGAGAGUCUGAACCAGCCAAGUCGCGUGAGGGAAGACUGCCCUAUGGGUUGUAAACCUCUUUUAUAAGGGAAGAAUAAGUUCUACGUGUAGAAUGAUGCCUGUACCUUAUGAAUAAGCAUCGGCUAACUCCGUGCCAGCAGCCGCGGUAAUACGGAGGAUGCGAGCGUUAUCCGGAUUUAUUGGGUUUAAAGGGUGCGUAGGCGGUUUAUUAAGUUAGUGGUUAAAUAUUUGAGCUAAACUCAAUUGUGCCAUUAAUACUGGUAAACUGGAGUACAGACGAGGUAGGCGGAAUAAGUUAAGUAGCGGUGAAAUGCAUAGAUAUAACUUAGAACUCCGAUAGCGAAGGCAGCUUACCAGACUGUAACUGACGCUGAUGCACGAGAGCGUGGGUAGCGAACAGGAUUAGAUACCCUGGUAGUCCACGCCGUAAACGAUGCUCACUGGUUCUGUGCGAUAUAUUGUACGGGAUUAAGCGAAAGUAUUAAGUGAGCCACCUGGGGAGUACGUCGGCAACGAUGAAACUCAAAGGAAUUGACGGGGGCCCGCACAAGCGGAGGAACAUGUGGUUUAAUUCGAUGAUACGCGAGGAACCUUACCUGGGUUUAAAUGGGAAAUGCCGUAUUUGGAAACAGAUAUUCUCUUCGGAGCGUUUUUCAAGGUGCUGCAUGGUUGUCGUCAGCUCGUGCCGUGAGGUGUCGGGUUAAGUCCCAUAACGAGCGCAACCCUUACCGUUAGUUGCUAGCAUGUAAUGAUGAGCACUCUAACGGGACUGCCACCGUAAGGUGAGAGGAAGGCGGGGAUGACGUCAAAUCAGCACGGCCCUUACACCCAGGGCUACACACGUGUUACAAUGGCCGGUACAGAGGGCCGCUACCAGGUGACUGGAUGCCAAUCUCAAAAGCCGGUCGUAGUUCGGAUUGGAGUCUGUAACCCGACUCCAUGAAGUUGGAUUCGCUAGUAAUCGCGCAUCAGCCAUGGCGCGGUGAAUACGUUCCCGGGCCUUGUACACACCGCCCGUCAAGCCAUGGAAGCCGGGGGUGCCUGAAGUCCGUAACCGCGAGGAUCGGCCUAGGGCAAAACUGGUAACUGGGGCUAAGUCGUAACAAGGUAGCCGUACCGGAAGGUGCGGCUG
rnacentral:rRNA from 1 species